AUAAAUUUUGCCUACUAUGAUGAAUAUAUUUGGAAUCAUGUGUUAGGCUAUAAAUUGUGAAAAACUUGCAUGUUAGGGUUGAUUUAUGCUUAUUCAUGUGAAACUUGAUAUUUUUUAGCACAAUAUUUAUGUUUUACAUCAUGAAAGAAUAAUAUGAUUCAAUAGUUAAAUAGGUUGAAAAAAAAUACAUAUAUAGUGGAUCUUAGAUGCUAAAUUCAAACAACUACUAUAUUAUACACUCUUAAGCCAAAUUUAAAAUAGUUUUGAAGUGAUUGAACUGUUGUAGUGAGACACUGAAAUAAACGUGGAUUCCAUCUGUGCUGAAUUUUGUGUGGAUUGUCUAAAGCUAAUAAGAUGAAAAUUAUGUAAAAAUUCUAAGUUAGGGGUCGAUUUUUGAAAAUGAGUGAGUUAGGGGUCGAUUUUUGAAAAUGAGUGUUUGAUAAAGAACAUUGCACUAAUCAGUGUAUAAAAAAGUAAAAGAAAAAGUGUCCCAUUGUGAAAUGUUUCUUCGUAGCCUUUAUAACUUGAGUGAAUAAGCCUGUAAGAGUAAAUUUGGCGCCCUAAAAUCGUCUGACUUGGAAGUCAUAAGCCAAAAGCUUGCCAUAUGGGUCAUUUAAAAAGUUUAAUGGAGAUAAAUUCGCACACAAGUUUUGAAAAUAUAACUAUAUAAAAAAGAAGAAAAAAUGAUAGUUACAUGUCUUGAUUAAGUCCCAAACACUUAUUUGAGAAUUAGACUUUUAUCAAGAAAUUAUUAGCCUAAUUGAUUCUCGGGGGUUGAAGCAAUAAAAAAAUAACAAAAAUCAUCAUUUAUUGAUAUGUCGAACUACAAUUAGUAAAAUCUAAUCAAACUAGAUAGUUUGAGGACUAAUAUAUAAAUUUAACUUUAGAUCACACAUUGGAAAGAGAGUUAAAUAAAUAAGUUUGGGGGUGUGAAUUUCACGAGAUGAGAAAUGAUAAAUUUGAUAUUGAGGGUCAAGAUUUGAA
rnacentral:lncRNA from 1 species